rfam:Pteropus alecto contig90408, whole genome shotgun sequence.
GUCUAUGGCCAUGCCACCCUGAACAAGCCCGAUCCUGUCUGAUCUUGGAAGCUAAGCAAGGUCGGGCCAGGUUAGUACUUGGAUGGGAGACCACCUAGGAAGACCAGGUGCUGUAGGUA